AAGUCGUAACAAGGUUUCCGUAGGUGAACCUGCGGAAGGAUCAUUAACACGUAUCCAACGUUAAACCCCCUGUGAACCUUCAUUGUACGAGUUACAUCCACGUCAUAAACCGGCAAUCUCUGGUAAAUCAUCGCCGAACAGUUUUGAUUCAGAGACCUCUGGGAAGGGUGUACGCUUAGUGUCUGAAAGUGUCACUAGAGCUAUGUACGGAUGGCGCAGUAACGAUCGCUGGAGGCCGACACGGCCGGCGACCAGGUCACUGGGCUACGGCCCCCCUGAUCACAACCUUUGCAUGAAAACGGGCCUGCGCUGAGGUGCGGCCACCCCUAAUGCUUGAACAACUGUUAACAAUGGAUAUCUUGGUUCUC
rnacentral:misc_RNA from 1 species